CCUACGGGAGGCAGCAGUGAGGAAUAUUGGUCAAUGGGCGAGAGCCUGAACCAGCCAAGUCGCGUGAGGGAGUACUGCCCUAUGGGUUGUAAACCUCUUUUGUCGGGGAGCAAAAGCCGGACGUGUCCGGCUGUGAGAGUACCCGAAGAAAAAGCAACGGCAAAGUCCGUGCCAGCAGCCGCGGUAAUACGGGGGAUGCGAGCGUUUUCCGGAUUUAUUGGGUUUAAAGGGUGGGCAGGGGGGUUUUUAAGUCAUCGGUAAAAUCGUGGGGCUCAACCCCAUCCAGCCGUUGAAACAGGGGGUCUAGAGUGUGGGAGAGGUAUGCGGAAUGCGUGGUGUAGCGGUGAAAUGCAUAGAUAUCACGCAGAACCCCGAUUGCGAAGGCAGCAUACCGGUGCACAACUGACGCUCAGGCACGAAAGCGUGGGUAUCGAACAGGAUUAGAUACCCUUGUAGUC
rnacentral:rRNA from 1 species